rnacentral:rRNA from 1 species
UACACUCCUACGGGAGGCAGCAGUGGGGAAUUUUGGACAAUGGGCGAAAGCCUGAUCCAGCAAUGCCGCGUGAGUGAAGAAGGCCUUCGGGUUGUAAAGCUCUUUUGUCAGGGAAGAAACGGUGAAAGCUAAUAUCUUUUGCUAAUGACGGUACCUGAAGAAUAAGCACCGGCUAACUACGUGCCAGCAGCCGCGGUAAUACGUAGGGUGCAAGCGUUAAUCGGAAUUACUGGGCGUAAAGCGUGCGCAGGCGGUUUUGUAAGUCUGAUGUGAAAUCCCCGGGCUCAACCUGGGAAUUGCAUUGGAGACUGCAAGGCUAGAAUCUGGCAGAGGGGGGUAGAAUUCCACGUGUAGCAGUGAAAUGCGUAGAUAUGUGGAGGAACACCGAUGGCGAAGGCAGCCCCCUGGGUCAAGAUUGACGCUCAUGCACGAAAGCGUGGGGAGCAAACAGGAUUAGAAACCCGGGUAGUCCCAUG